GCUGUGAUGAAUUGAAAUAGCAUUGAUCAGCUGAAGUGAUAGUGCUUUCAUGUCCUCUAAGAAGUUCUGAGCAG
ensembl:snoRNA SNORD61 small nucleolar RNA, C/D box 61